rnacentral:rRNA from 1 species
AACGAACGCUGGCGGCAAGCUUAACACAUGCAAGUCGAACGCCCCGCAAGGGGAGUGGCAGACGGGUGAGUAACGCGUGGGAACAUACCCUUUUCUGCGGAAUAGCUCUGUGAAACUGGAAUUAAUACCGCAUCCGCCCCACGGGGGAAAGAUGUAUCGGGGAAGGAUUGGCCGCGUUGGAUUAGCUAGUGGGGGGGGUAAAGGCCUACCAAGGCGACGAUCCAUAGCUGGUCUGAGAGGAUGAUCAGCCACAUUGGGACUGAGACACGGCCCAAACUCCUACGGGAGGCAGCAGUGGGGAAUAUUGGACAAUGGGCGCAAGCCUGAUCCAGCCAUGCCGCGUGAGUGAUGAAGGCCUUAGGGUUGUAAAGCUCUUUCACCGAUGAAGAUAAUGACGGUAGUCGGAGAAGAAGCCCCGGCUAACUUCGUGCCAGCAGCCGCCGUAAGAC